rnacentral:tRNA from 1 species
UAAGGAUUAGUUUAAUAUAGAAUUGUUGACUGUUAAUCAAAGGGUUGUAUCCUUAA